rnacentral:rRNA from 1 species
AGUGAACGCUGGCGGUAGGCCUAACACAUGCAAGUCGAACGGCAGCACAGUAAGAGCUUGCUCUUACGGGCGGCGAGUGGCGGACGGGUGAGGAAUACAUCGGAAUCUACUUUUUCGUGGGGGAUAACGUAGGGAAACUUACGCUAAUACCGCAUACGACCUACGGGUGAAAGCAGGGGAUCUUCGGACCUUGCGCGAUUGAAUGAGCCGAUGUCGGAUUAGCUAGUUGGCGGGGUAAAGGCCCACCAAGGCGACGAUCCGUAGCUGGUCUGAGAGGAUGACAAGCACAACGGAACUUGAGAACCGGUCAAGAGCCCUACGGGAGGCAGAAGUGGGGAUAAUGGAACAAUGGGCGAAAGCCUGACCCAGCCAUACCGCGUGGGUGAAGAAGGCCUCCGGGUGGUAAAGCCCUUUUGUUGGGAAAGAAAAGCAGCAGGUUAAUCCCCCGCUGUUCUACCGGUACCAAAAGAAUAAGCACCGCCUAAUUUCGU